GGAACGAACGCUGGCGGCAGGCCUAACACAUGCAAGUCGAACGCUCGUAGCAAUACGAGAGUGGCAGACGGGUGAGUAACGCGUGGGAACCUUCCCUAUGGUUCGGAAUAGCUCAGGGAAACUUGGGGUAAUACCGGAUAAGCCCUUCGGGGGAAAGAUUUAUCGCCAUUGGAUGGGCCCGCGUCGGAUUAGCUAGUUGGUGAGGUAACGGCUCACCAAGGCAACGACCCGUAGCUGGUCUGAGAGGAUGAUCAGCCACACUGGGACUGAGACACGGCCCAGACUCCUACGGGAGGCAGCAGUGGGGAAUAUUGGACAAUGGGCGCAAGCCUGAUCCAGCCAUGCCGCGUGAGUGACGAAGGUCUUCGGAUUGUAAAACUCUUUUGGCGGGACGAUAAAUGACGGUACCGCAGAAUAAGCCCGGCUAACUUCGUGCCAGCAGCCGC
rnacentral:rRNA from 1 species